UUGUUUUUAUUUAUGCUCAAUUAAGAGACUGUUACAUUCUUAUACUAAUGUGUUAAAAUGUGUGUAAAAAGAAGUGUGUGCACAGUGUAAGGAAAUGAAGUGGUCGGACCUCUAAAAAGAGCGUCCUAUAAAUUCAUUAAUGAUCCUUCCGCAGGUUCACCUACGGAAA
rnacentral:misc_RNA from 1 species